ensembl:rRNA 5S_rRNA 5S ribosomal RNA
GUCUACGGUCGUGCUACCCUGACCAAGCCCGAUCCCGUCUGAUCUUGGAAGCUAAGCAGGGUCGGGCCUGGUUAGUACUUGGAUGGGAGACCACCAAGGAAGACUGUCAAGUUAGGUGCUGUAAGCU